rnacentral:lncRNA from 1 species
GGCCCCAGAGAUGAAUUCCAAACUAGACCCACACGUCCUGAAACACGUCCAUGUUGUCUACCCGUGUGGUCCUAAAUCACAAACAGCGAGUCAUACGGCCUGGACAUACGCCCGUGUCCUUGGCCAGUGUGAACCCUGCACUAACAUGCCCACACACAGCCUGAGCACACACCCGUGUUUCUUGCCCGUGUAGCUAGUAUUCAGUAAAUAGUGUGUUACACGACCUAACACACGAUGUAAUCACUGAAUUUUGUUCGGGAAUAAUUUCGUGUUUUAAAAAAAUAAAAAAAUAAUAAAAAUUUGCAUUUUGACCCCUAAACUUUUCUAAAAUUACAUUUUGACCCCUAAACUUUCUCGAAAUUAUAUUUCAACCCCUAAACUUUUCUAAAUUACAUUUUGACCCUUAAACUUUCUUGAAAUUACAUUUUAACCCUUGAACUUUAUCAGAAUGACACUUUUGCCCCAAAACUUUUGCUGUGUUUACGAUUCAGUCCUUCUGGCAGCCACCACGCAAGUUGCACCUACAACAGGCGGCAGCCGGCCUACCCUCCCUAGCUACCUGCAACCUGCAAAAAAAGGAGAAGAAAAAUCAGUUUAAAAGGGGGUUUUAAACCCCCAAAAAUUUUCAGCCAAGCAAGAAACAAAAACAAAAAAAAAACAAAAAAAAAUUUCAAAGCCAAAAGAAAAAAGGCAAAGAAAUUCCAAAAAAAAAAAGCUCUCAAUCCGGCCGAUUGCCUCCACCGCCACCACGUCCGUCGCGCCACCACCAUUGUCAUCUCACCGUCGAGUCCUAAACGAAAAAAACAAAAACAAAGAAAAAAACAAGCAAAAGAGAAAAAGAGAAAGAGCAAAGAAGAAAAAAGAAAAAGGAAAAGGGGGAGAGCAUACCUCCGUGCGCGCCACCGUCGGCCGUCGCACCAGGCGGAGAGACGUCACCGGUGACACAAGGGGGGUGCUGCUGAUCGGGGAAGAAAGAAAGGAAGAAAAAGAAGAAGGAAAGAAGAAAAGGGAAAGAAGAAAGAAAGAACAAAAGAAAAAAGAAAAACUUAAAAACAAAGCAGGCCCAAACCAAGCCCAGCGCAGCCCAAUCCAAGAGCAGAUUCAGCCCAACAAGAAGCAGGCCAGCCCAGUCCAGCGUCAGGCCCAGUGCUCAGCAGCCCAGCAGUUUCGGCCCAGUCCUUUGGCAGCCCAAUAACAGCAGCCCAACAGCAAAAAAAAUAAAAGAAAG